rnacentral:rRNA from 1 species
AUUGAACGCUGGCGGCAGGCCUAACACAUGCAAGUCGAGCGGAUGACAGGAGCUUGCUCCUGAAUUCAGCGGCGGACGGGUGAGUAAUGCCUAGGAAUCUGCCUGGUAGUGGGGGACAACGUUUCGAAAGGAACGCUAAUACCGCAUACGUCCUACGGGAGAAAGCAGGGGACCUUCGGGCCUUGCGCUAUCAGAUGAGCCUAGGUCGGAUUAGCUAGUUGGUGAGGUAAUGGCUCACCAAGGCGACGAUCCGUAACUGGUCUGAGAGGAUGAUCAGUCACACUGGAACUGAGACACGGUCCAGACUCCUACGGGAGGCAGCAGUGGGGAAUAUUGGACAAUGGGCGAAAGCCUGAUCCAGCCAUGCCGCGUGUGUGAAGAAGGUCUUCGGAUUGUAAAGCACUUUAAGUUGGGAGGAAGGGUUGUAGAUUAAUA